CUGGCUCAGGAUGAACGCUAGCUACAGGCUUAACACAUGCAAGUCGAGGGGCAGCAUGAAGUUUGCUUGCAAACUUUGAUGGCGACCGGCGCACGGGUGCGUAACACGUAUCCAACUUCCCACCGCUCAGGGAUAGCCUUCCGAAAGAAAGAUUAAUACCUGAUGGUCUCACAUGGGGACAUCCCUGUGUGAGUAAAGAUUUAUCGGCGUUGGAUGGGGAUGCGUCCGAUUAGGUAGCAGGCGGGGUAACGGCCCACCUGGCCUACGAUCGGUAGGGGUUCUGAGAGGAAGGUCCCCCCACACUGGAACUGAGACACGGUCCAGACUCCUACGGGAGGCAGCAGUGAGGAAUAUUGGUCAAUGGGCGGAAGCCUGAACCAGCCAAGUAGCGUGAGGGACGACGGCCCUACGGGUUGUAAACCUCUUUUGUUUGGGAAUAAAGUGCCGCACGUGUGCGGUUUUGCAUGUACCAUUCGAAUAAGCAUCGGCUAAUUCCGUGCCAGCCGCGGC
rnacentral:rRNA from 1 species